CUGUGGAUGGUGCGUUUGUGAGCGUACCUGGGGUUUUGGUUCUGGGAAAUGUUGUUGGAUAUGGGGAGUCUGUGCGGGUCAGUCGUCGGCAGA
rnacentral:tRNA from 1 species